UGAGGAAUAUUGGGCAAUGCCCGCAAGGGUGACCCAGCAACGCCGCGUGGAGGAUGAAUGUCGUAAGAUUGUAAACUCCUGUUAGAGGGGAAGAAUAGUACCGGUUGGACCGGUAUAUGACUGUACCCUCAGAGAAAGCCCCGGCUAACUACGUGCCAGCAGCCGCGGUAAUACGUAGGGGGCAAGCGUUGUCCGGAUUUACUGGGUGUAAAGGGCGCGCAGGCGGGAUAAAAAGUCAGUGGUGAAAUCCUACAGCCUAACUGUAGAACUGCCUUUGAUACUUUUAUUCUUGAGUUCGGGAGAGAGAGACGGAAUUCCAGGUGUAGUGGUGAAAUACGUAGAUAUCUGGAAGAACACCAGUUGCGAAGGCGGUCUCUUGGUCCGACACUGACGCUGAGGCGCGAAAGCGUGGGGAGCAAAC
rnacentral:rRNA from 1 species